CGAGGCUCCUACUAGUCCACAUUCGUGCUUUGGUUAAAUUUCUGGUGCCGGGGUGAAUGGCCUGAAGAUUUGUUAAGUAUCUGGUGCCUGACUUUCCGACCCAUCUUGGCUCGGACCCGGCUUUCCGGGCUUUGGACUACAUUUCCCGGAGGCCUCUGCGCCGGGGGCUCCUCUCAGUCGGAGUUCUUUCGCCCAGGAGCGCCUGCAUUUCCAGCGGGGUGGCUCUGCUGCAGGGCAUGGCUGGUUGGGCUGCGACCUUGCGAGACUGGACCGACAGGUGGUAGCCUGGGGGUGAGGGAGCCUGCGAACGGCGGAGCUGGGAGGGAGGCAGGUCCACCUUCUCAGGACCCUGCUUCUCCAAGAAAAAACCCAGAUGAAGCUGCUAAUUAGUUCUUGGAACUCAAAAAGCAAUGACCUCUGUGAGUUGGAAUUAUUUCUGUCCUUCCUGAAAUGCAAUCUUUUUUUUUCCUAGGUCACAUC
rnacentral:lncRNA from 1 species